rnacentral:rRNA from 1 species
UAAACUACGAUUAGAUACCCUAUUAUUUUAAAUGUAAAUCUAUAAAACUUGAGUAGUAAUAGUUAUGUUCUUGAAACUCAAAGAAUUUGGCGGUGUUUUAGUCUUUUCAGAGGAACCUGUCCCGUAAUCGAUAAUCCACGUUAAACCUUACUUAUUUUUGUUAUCAGCUUGUAUACCGCCGUCGUCAGAAUGUCCUAAGAAGGUUUAAAUUUUCUUAAAUUUUUAUUGAAAAUGAUGUCAGGUCAAGGUGUAGCUUAUGAAUAAGUGGAGAUGGGUUACAAUAAAUAUAUUUAUAAUGGAUAAAAUCUUGAAAUAGGUUUUUGAAGGUGGAUUUGAUGGUAAUUAAAUUAAUUAAAUUAAUUUGAUUUUAGCUCUAAAACAUGCACACAUCGCCCGUCGCUCUUA